UCCAUGCCGUAAACGAUGAUUACUAAGUGUUGGAGGGUUUCCGCCCUUCAGUGCUGCAGCUAACGCAUUAAGUAAUCCGCCUGGGGAGUACGACCGCAAGGUUGAAACUCAAAAGAAUUGACGGGGGCCCGCACAAGCGGUGGAGCAUGUGGUUUAAUUCGAAGCUACGCGAAGAACCUUACCAGGUCUUGACAUCUUCUGCCAACCUAAGAGAUUAGGCGUUCCCUUCGGGGACAGAAUGACAGGUGGUGCAUGGUUGUCGUCAGCUCGUGUCGUGAGAUGUUGGGUUAAGUCCCGCAACGAGCGCAACCCUUAUUACUAGUUGCCAGCAUUCAGUUGGGCACUCUAGUGAGACUGCCGGUGACAAACCGGAGGAAGGUGGGGACGACGUCAAAUCAUCAUGCCCCUUAUGACCUGGGCUACACACGUGCUACAAUGGAUGGUACAACGAGUCGCGAAACCGCGAGGUUUAGCUAAUCUCUUAAAACCAUUCUCAGUUCGGACUGUAGGCUGCAACUCGCCUACACGAAGUCGGAAUCGCUAGUAAUCGCGGAUCAGCAUGCCGCGGUGAAUACGUUCCCGGGCCUUGUACACACCGCCCGUCACACCAUGAGAGUUUGUAACACCCAAAGCCGGUGGGGUAAC
rnacentral:rRNA from 1 species